rnacentral:rRNA from 1 species
AGAGUUUGAUCAUGGCUCAGAACAAACGCUGGCGGCGUGCCUAAUACAUGCAAGUCGAACGGGGAAAGCCUUCGGGUGAGUACUAGUGGCGCACGGGUGAGUAACACGUGGGUAAUUUUCCUUAGAGUGGGGGAUAACUAGUCGAAAGAUUAGCUAAUACCCCAUAAGACCACAGAAUCUGCGGAUUCAGAGGUAAAAGUUUUUCGCUCUAAGAUAAGCCCGCGCAAGAUUAGCUAGUUGGUGAGGUAACGGCUCACCAAGGCUACGAUCUUUAGCUGGUCUGAGAGGAUGAUCAGCCACACUGGAACUGAGACACGGUCCAGACUCCUACGGGAGGCAGCAGUAGGGAAUAUUGCACAAUGGAGGAAACUCUGAUGCAGCGACGCCGCGUGAGUGAUGAAGGACUUCGGUUCGUAAAGCUCUGUCGCAUGGGAAUAAUAAACUGAAUGUACCAUGCAAGAAAGGAUCGGCUAACUUCGUGCCAGCAGCCGCGGUAAGACGAGGGAUCCUAGCGUUGUUCGGAAUCAUUGGGCGUAAAGCGGAUGUAGGUGGCUUUGUAAGUCAGGUGUGAAAGCCCCGGGCUCAACCCGGGAAGUGCAUUUGAUACUGCGAAGCUUGAAUGUUGGAGAGGCUACUAGAAUACCUGGUGUAGUGGUGAAAUACGUAGAUAUCAGGUGGAAUACCGGAGGCGAAGGCGGGUAGCCAGCCAAACAUUGACACUCAGAUCCGAAAGUGUGGGGAUCAAACAGGAUUAGAUACCCCAGUAGUCC